CUUAAAAACAAAACCAAAAAAAUAAAUAAAAGAGGGAAGAAGGGAGGGAAAACGAGGAAAAGACAAAAAAGAAAGAAAGAAAAAAGGAAGAGAGAGAGGGGAUAGAGAGAAGCGUGCGGAGGAUAAAAAGGAUGCGCAACGCUGCAGCUAGCUUGAGUCAGAUCUCAGGAAAGCAAGGACGCUUAACAGUACUUGCAAGUCCAAGAGCUAAUCAAGACUUCUUUUUUGUGUGUCACUUCUCCCUAACUUAACGCAGCAGCAGACUGCUUUCUCGGUGUUGUUCUCUGUGGCUGCAGUACGGAAAGCGGCCGUUGCCGACGGACCGGGGCUCAGGAAGGCUGUAGCGAGGGAGGUCUGCCUUUCCAUCCCCGUCCGGUGGGGCUCGGCUCCCGCGAAGACCCGGGGAAGGUGGAGUCCGGCUGUUUGCUGGCUUUAAAAGGCAGCUGCGUUUCCAGAUGCCUGUACAAGAACAUCAGAAGUACGUCCCCUGUUGCCUCAAGUCCCCAGCUUAAGGAGGCAUUCUUCAGCCUCCCCAUCGCCUGAAGCCGACGGUCAGGCCAAGCAGGAUCACUGUGGGGCCUCCCAGCACCUACACCCAGAGAUCCUCCCUGCCCUUUGCCAGAAAAACAGCAGUUGGGACCUCCCUGGUGAUCUGGUGGUUAAGACUUCCCGCUUCAACUGUAGGGGGCGAGGGUUCAAUCCUGGUCCCUGGUCUGGGAACUAAGAUUCCAUGCUACAUGUUACAGCCAGAAAAAAAAAAAAAGAAGAAAAACAAGAAGGUGGGGAAAACUUCCCGGGAGGUUUUGUUCUUUAUAUAUAUAUAUAUUUUUUUUUUUUAUUUUAUGUAUUUAUUUAUUUGUGUCAGGUCUUGUAGUUGUGGCACACAGGCUUCGUUGCCCGGCA
ensembl:lncRNA